rfam:Firmicutes bacterium CAG:313 genomic scaffold, scf25
UACAUAGGGUAACCGAGCGCCUUUGGCGUUAGGAAAGUCCAUACUAGCACAGACUGUGAUGUCUGUAGUGUUUGUGCCUGAUUAAUAAAUAAGUCAGGGGAUAGUUGAUGGCUAUUACGGCGGAUGAAACCUAAGGAUUUAUCUAUGGUGUAAUCCAUAAAGCGCCACAGAGACGAUUUUUUUGGAAACAAAAAAGUGGAACGGGUAAGCCCCACAAGCUAGCAACCCAAAUUUUGGUAGGGGCAUGAAAAUUGAAGGAAACGAACUUACAAUUUUUACAAGUUUUAUACUUGAGAUAAAUGGUUACCAGUUAAGUAAUAAUGCUUAAUUACAGAAUAUGGCUUAUAUAU